UAGGGAAUAUUGCAAAAUGGGCGAAAGCCCGAUGCAGCAACGCCGCGUGGGCGGUGAAGGCCUUCGGGUCGUAAAGCCCUUUUUGAGGGGAUGAGGAAGGACAGUACCCUCAGAAUAAGCCUCGGCUAACUACGUGCCAGCAGCCGCGGUAAAACGUAGGAGGCGAGCGUUAUCCGGAUUUACUGGGCGUAAAGCGCGUGCAGGCGGAUUGGAGAGUUGGAUGUGAAAGCUCCCGGCUUAACUGGGAGAGGCCGUUCAAUACUUCCAGUCUUGAGUGCAGUAGAGGGAAGUGGAAUUCCGGGUGUAGUAGUGAAAUGCGUAGAGAUCCGGAGGAACACCAGUGGCGAAAGCGGCUUCCUGGACUGUAACUGACGCUCAGACGCG
rnacentral:rRNA from 1 species